rfam:Glycine max cultivar Williams 82 chromosome 18, whole genome shotgun sequence.
UUUUUAUUGGAUGAUAAUUGUCACGUGUCAUGUUUUGAUUGGAUGUCAACUCCAUGAAAGAUGAAAUGCAUUGUUGUUUUCAUUGAUCAAUCAGAACACAACACAUGACAGUUAUCAUCC